rnacentral:rRNA from 1 species
GACGAACGCUGGCGGCGUGCUUAACACAUGCAAGUCGAACGGAAAGGCCCUGCUUUUGUGGGGUGCUCGAGUGGCGAACGGGUGAGUAACACGUGAGUAACCUGCCCUUGACUUUGGGAUAACUUCAGGAAACUGGGGCUAAUACCGGAUAGGAGCUCCUGCUGCAUGGUGGGGGUUGGAAAGUUUCGGCGGUUGGGGAUGGACUCGCGGCUUAUCAGCUUGUUGGGGGGGUAGUGGCUUACCAAGGCUUUGACGGGUAGCCGGCCUGAGAGGGUGACCGGCCACAUUGGGACUGAGAUACGGCCCAGACUCCUACGGGAGGCAGCAGUGGGGAAUAUUGCACAAUGGGCGGAAGCCUGAUGCAGCGACGCCGCGUGCGGGAUGACGGCCUUCGGGUUGUAAACCGCUUUCGCCUGUGACGAAGCGUGAGUGACGGUAAUGGGUAAAGAAGCACCGGCUAACUACGUG